AACGAACGCUGGCGGCAGGCCUAACACAUGCAAGUCGAGCGGACCUUUCGGGGUCAGCGGCGGACGGGGGAGUAACGCGUGGGAAUAUGCCCUUCUCUACGGAAUAGUCCUGGGAAACUGGGGGUAAUACCGUAUACGCCCUUUGGGGGAAAGAUUUAUCGGGGAAGGAUUAGCCCGCGUUGGAUUAGGUAGUUGGUGGGGUAAUGGCCUACCAAGCCGACGAUCCAUAGCUGGUUUGAGAGGAUGAUCAGCCACACUGGGACUGAGACACGGCCCAGACUCCUACGGGAGGGAGCAGUGGGGAAUCUUAGACAAUGGGGGCAACCCUGAUCAAGCCAUGCCGGGUGAGUGAUGAAGGCCUUAGGGUUGUAAAGCUCUUUCAGCUGGGAAGAUAAUGACGGUACCAGCAGAAGAAGCCCCGGCUAACUCCGUG
rnacentral:rRNA from 1 species